rnacentral:lncRNA from 1 species
CUGAUUGAAAAUUUUCCUUUAUUUAUCACUGUUACAGGAUGGCCUGUUUCUGGCUCAAGCCUGUAAAAGUGCCAUCCAGAUUGAGAAUCCACUGAAGAAUUCAGUCCAUCUAACUUGUACGUCAUAGACAUCUUGGACAAUUUCAGUCAUAAAUAAGGAAGUAUUUCAUUAAGAAACAGGUAUUUUGAAGAGUUGGAAGAGUUACCAUGAAUAUAAACACUUCACAUAAUGCCAUUGGUGAUACUCAAAGGUUGAAGAAUCCCUCCUCAGAUGUAAAACAAUUGAUUAAAAAUGAAACAGACUUGGAUAUUACUGCUGAUCUUAGAAAGAAACUCCAUUGGGCUAAGAAAGAAAAAUUAGAAAUGACAACUAAGCACAAUGCAGAGCUGUCAAGCUAUGAGAGCCAGAUUGCCAAGCUACGGUCUGAGGUUGAAAAAGGAGAAGCAUUUCGACAGAGUCUGGAGUAUGACCUGGCUGUCGCUAGAAAGGAAACUGGUCUUGGAAGACGGGCUGCAGAAGAGAGGUUAGCUGAGGCAUGUAGGAUCCAAGAAGAACUCUGUACUCAGAAUUCAGAACUUCAAGAAAAAGCAAAUGGGAUUGAGAAGGUAUUUCAGACUUCCCAACAGAAAUGGAAAGAAGAAUGCAGAAGAUUUGAACGUGACUUGGAAGAAAGAGAUAAUAUAAUUCAAAAUUGCAAUCAAGAAUAUGAUUUACUUAUGAAGGAAAAAAGUAGACUGGAAAAAACUCUACAGGAAGUGUUGGAAAAACAUCAACUGGAGAAGAGUAAGAUGGAGUCACAUGUCAGGGAGACUGCACUGGAGGAGUUUAGAUUACAAGCCGAGCAAUGGGAUGUGGAGAGAAGAGAGUUACAAUUUAUAGUACAGGUAUUUAAAAAUAAUUUAGUUCCUCAAAUAUGUCUUUAUAAUUUUAUGAUAUUACAAUCAUACGCUAUUAGAAUUAUAGUAGGAUAAUUCAUUUAAGGGAAAAAUAAUUCUGUCUUUGAUCUCUGG